CUUUUUUUUUUUUUUUUUUUUUUUUUUUUUAAUUUAAGUGGUCUCACUCUGUUACCCAGGAUGGAGUGCAGUGGUGUGAUCACGGCUCACUGCAGCCUCAACCUCCCAAUCUCAAGCAAUCCUCCCACCUCAGCCUCCCGAGAAGCUAGGACUACAGGCGUGUGCCACCAUGCCCAACUCUUAAAAAAACUUUUUUUUUUUUUUUUGUAGCUAUGGGGGUCUCACUUUGUUGUCCAGGCUGACAGAACUGCAUUUUUAAUUCUAUAGAAAUAUAAUUCUUUAUAGGACUUCCUGGUCAAUACAGUAAUGUAAGUUUGAGCUCUUGAUUCUUCAUCGCCAUAAUUCCCUUCUGCAUAUACUGCAUAUGGAAACAUAUAAUUGAGCAUCUGUGUUCCAGGCAUUGUGGCUCUAACCCAAGUUGUCUGAGUAUAUCCUAGAAGUCUCUGAAGUACUGUUUAUCUUCUUUCCCUUUUUGUUACUUCUUCACACUUUCCUUUUGGCCACCUUUACAGUGAGUAAAGUAGGUGGAUAGAGACCUUUGAAAAAGUAUAUCUGUGUUCCUCAAACAAGUCAGUUUUAGUGACUAUUACCUUUGGAGAUAAAGUCCAGUUCCUUAGAGUGGCUUCUGCAGCCAUCCAUGAUCUCUGAAUCUCAUCUCUUGCCCUUCAUAUGUCAAAUAAACUAUAGUUUUUGCUGUUCCUUGA
rnacentral:lncRNA from 1 species